AUCUGAAACAUUGUAAGUCAACUGUACUUCAUUGAAAGAUAUAUAUUUAAAAAAAAAUGAGACAAUAGUAACUUGACAAUUGUGACACAACCACUCAGGUAUUUAGCUGAUAUCCUAAUGACCUCUAUGUAUCUUAGAAGCCAAGAGACCUUAAGACUUCAAAAACUCUGCUCAUGCCCAUUCCAGAAUCAGCUGAAAGAGAAAUCUUGAACUGGUACCAAAGGAACAUCAGAAAUGAACAGUAAAAAUUGGCAGCUUCCUGAACAAACAAGUCUUCAUCACACAGUUUUAACUCUAUAUGAAGUAAAUUCAUCUAAUUAGUGGCUACAUCUAUGUUUGAAUACAGGGCCUAUUUCAAAGCAAAGCAAACUGUAAAAAAUUAUGAAUUAUGUUGGAUUAUCCACGUGUCAUAUUUCAUUCAUCUGUGCAGAUAGUCUGAAUCUGAUCAUCAUUGAGGAAAAUGAUUAUAGAACAUGGAUGCUAUAUACCUGCAAAGGGGCUAGUCUCCUUCCUCAUAGAUGUCAUAUCCUUGGAAGGAAUGAAUAAGUAAAUGAGCCCCAAGGAGCUGAUUAAUGGGCAUCCCUUCCAGAGUGAUUCAUAUGCCACCCCUGCCUGUGUGACCAUUAUGGAUUUAUUAACAUUAAAGCAAUGCUAUUCAAACAGGUAUCAAAACAUUUUCAUGUGAUGGAACACCAGGUGAAAUAUUACUGCAACCUCUCAGCAGACUGAAACAAGCUGAGAUAAUUGCCCUGCUAAGGAGAACAGACUCAACCUCCAGAUGCCACUUAAGGCCCUGAGUUCUGUCUUCUAGAAUUUCUUUACUUGAUGAAAUAAUGGCCUGAUGUUAUGCUCAGAAUCAGCCCCCCUCAUAUUGUGAUACCCAAUGGAUACCACUAAUUGCAACCCUUCUGCUCCAAAACAUCUUCCAAGACUUAAUUACAGAAUAAGUGAGGGAGCUCUGGCUGAGGAGUUCCUGUCAUUUCCUGGGUACCUCCAGCUACAUUCCUGGUUCACUGAGGGCAGGGUAAUGGUGGAGGGUGGACAGUAACAGAGUGGAGACCAGAGCCCUCUCUCUCCAAAGAGUAAAGAGCAGGAAUGAGGUCUUCAAAUGUUUUUCUAUAGGACAGAAAGAAAUAGAGCAAUGCCUGCCUUCAGCAAGCUCAUCACCAUGCUGGGGAUCCCAUGAUUGUUCAUGUGAGAAGUAAGCUGACCUUCCAAGGCAGAGGAUGGUCACCACAAAGUCAUUUUCAGAAAGUCACACUCUGAAGGUGAUAGUGUGCUUAUGAACUGGGGGAACAAGAGCAAAGGAGUGACAAAGUCUAGCAGGUCUUCUAGGAGAGGCCCAGGAAGCUGGAUGCUAGCUGUUGGCACAUGACAGGGAAGGUAAAGCCAUGCUCAGACUCCUGAUGCUAAGCCUACUGCUUGUUGCUUUCUUUCUGUCUUCACUGAAGUUAACAUAUACAGAAGACUAGCUUGCUUAACGGGUAACAUUAAUGCAUUGAUGAAUGCAACAAUUCGACAGCUCUUGCUUUAUCCCAACAGGUCUUUUGUUCUGCUUACAUGCAUGAUAUCACUUUGCUUCUUCCCGCUUACUGAGCACCUACUACGUGCCAAGGUCUGAACCUGACUCUGGGGAAGGUGUACAAGACCCUCAGGAGACUUUCACUCUGACUAUGGAGGCAGGGUUCACACACAUAAGAAACAGGCAACUGAUGAUGACUGGAGUAAGGUGUUCUGAGCAAUAGUGAAAGGCUGGGAUGGAAGUGCAAUUAGAAGGCACGAGAGUUAAACGUCAGCAUGACGGAGGAUGACUGAGAGUCCCUGGGCUGAGAAGGGGGCAGUGAAGAACCCCAGACAGGGAGCACAGAGGUGUGGAGUGAGGAGCAUCGGUCAGAAAAGCGAAUUAUCCACAGUGGCUCAGAGUAACAUGCUUUAGCAGCUGGCCACAGACGAGCCUGCAAACCAGCCAAAGACAGCUUGGGAAGCACUGUCCUUGGGGUUUGAACUUGAACAUGUAGGCUAAAGGCCAACAGUUUCUGUACACAGCCAGAUCAUAAAUACUUUGGUUGGACAAUCUCUGCUGCAACUAGUCAACUCUGCCCUUACAGGGUAAAAGCGGCCAUAGACAAUAUGUAAAUGAAAGGGCAUGGCGGUGUUCCAAUAAAAUUUUAUUGACGGAAACAGAAACUCAGAUGGAUUUGGCCGGUGGCUGGAUUUGCUAACCCCUCUCCUCUCAGUAGACUGACUCAUAGCCACACUCCAGUCUCAAGUGAUACAAACAAAGGAAUCAUUCUGAAACCAGGUGUGCUCCCUAAAGUAUAUAUGGACACAGGUGUCUAUUAAAUUAAGACUAGAUCACCACAGAUCUAACCUGUAAAUCUGGCAUUGCGUCUGAGAUGGAAAGGGUGUCUUGCAAAGGAAAAUGUGAAAAUCAGGGGUUGAUUAAUGUAAAACAGGGGCCAGCAUUUUAAAUGAACACCAUCCAUCUUCUUUUCUUUUAAUAUUGAAGUGAGAAGAAGGACUUGGAUCAAUGCCCUCAUCAAUGGCUAACUCCUCCCUGUCUUCUCAGAAUAAAACUAACUUGCUAAAUGAGAAGACAAGAAAACAACAGCAAUAGCAGCAACAACAACAUCAAUAAUGAAAACCAACCUUUCUUUCUGAAGAGGGUUUCCAAACAGAACACAUACACAUUCUGUGGUAAUUAACAACAUCCACCUCCCUUACUAUGCUGAAGUUUCUGCAAACCAGAAUUAAAUUGAAUAUGUCAACUCUAAAUCUCCUGUCACAGGGAAUUUUGUAGCAAGUCUUCAUGAUGGCACAAAUGUAAUCUUCAGUACAGCCAGAGGAGGAACUAAGAUCAUAAAGAGGUUUUUCAGUAAGACAAGGACCUGCUUUAAUUCACUCUAAGGCAGGAUGCCCCCAUGUUAAAAAGAACCAUGUUCUGAACUUUUCCGUGCAAUUUGAAUAAUUUUUCUCUCAGAAACAUAGUAUAAAUGUGGGUUAGCGCCCAGGCUUAGCCCUGUAAAAGCUUAUUUAAACCAAAAGAGAAAUGAAAACAGUAGGAAGCAAUGGCUUUGUAGUACCGGUAAUUAAGUAAAUCAAAAGCAAUUAUGAUUAGAAAAUCAUUUUUUUUAAAAAUCUCUUUACAAACAGAGUUAAAUAAAAGAUAGGGGAUUCAUUUUGAGAUUCUCAUCAGUUAUAGCCCUUCCUUGCUGAUUGCUUGUUAGAUCCCAGACUCACCAGCUUUCCUGCUAUUCUUUAAAGACUAUAAGCUUGUGUUGACACUGGGCCUUAAUAACUGCUGAUCUAUCAGUCAGAAGCAGAUUUCCAAUAGGUUUUUGAAUGUCUAACUCCUUCUCAUUUUCAAGACCUCUUGGGCCUCUCCAUGAAUAUAUAAAAGAGACCCUCCCAACCCUAGUCAGCAUCUGUACUAUCAGCCUGCGUCAUUUUAAACAGAGAAUAUGAAGACAUAAAUUAUUUACUUUACAUUUGGUUUACUGGUUCACUGUCCAUCUCCUUACACAUAAAGUGCAUGCAAGCAGAACUCUGUCUUCUAUAUCCUGGUAAGUGCUCAAUUAAAUAUUUUACUGGUGAAUGGACUCUGAAGGAAUGUUUAUAUGGAUGCUUUCAAAAGUUUCUUUAUUUUGUUAUUUUGUGAUUUAUUUUCUCUAAUAUAACUUUGAAUUUUCUCUAAUUCUUUAAUCCCCAAACCAAUGUUCAUCCAUUAUUUGAUAUAGGGACCUGGACCAAGAAUCUUUUUUUUUUUUUUUUAAUAUUUAUUGAUCAACACAAAUACCUGGGGUAUAAUGGAAUAAUUGUGGUCAAGAGGGGGAGAAAGAAGUAGAAGAAAGCAGAUUAAAAAAAAAAUCAAAACUAUACAUUAUUAAUAAAAAAGAGAAUAUAAUGUUGGCUCUACUAGCCGCAUGUCUACAAAGGCAUAAAAACAGGGGAGAUGAAAACUAAAUCUAUUGAAAAGGGAAAAGGGAGGCUCUGAGAAUGACAGAACAAAAAUAUUGCCAUAGGUCCCUGGGGAGCACCAAUGUCACAGUGCAGAGUCACAAUUCAAAGGGGAUUUUACACUGAGUAGGGAGAACUAUGCUAAUAAGAAGCAAAGAACAAAAAGAAGAGCAAUCAUUGAAAAUCUACCAUAAGCAAGAAACUGUGCUCUUUGUAUAUUUAAUUAUUACAACAAUCUUUUGAGGUUCAAAUUACAUUAUCCUUAUUUUUCCAACCUUGGAAAAUUAAAUUCAAAGUUAAACAAUGUAAACCAGAAAGCAUUCUGUUUUAUGGAUCCAGAUUUGAAUCAAGGUUUAUCUAGUAGUUUUUUUUUCCUAUGAUGUUUCUCCAGGAAGGACACAUAUUAGACGUUUAUACUUAUUUAGCAAACAAAUAAUGAACAAGUUUGGAUAUUUUCUUUUUAAAAAAAGUAAAUUCUGCUUAAUAAAAUUGCUUUAAAUGAUAAC